UACGGAGGGGGCUAGCGUUGUUCGGAAUUACUGGGCGUAAAGCGCACGUAGGCGGUGGUGCAUGUCAGAUGUGAAAGCCCUGGGCUUAACCUAGGAAUUGCAUUUGAAACUGCGCCGCUAGAGACCGGAAGAGGGUAGUGGAAUUCCCAGUGUAGAGGUGAAAUUCGUAGAUAUUGGGAAGAACACCAGUGGCGAAGGCGGCUACCUGGUCCGGUACUGACGCUGAGGUGCGAAAGCGUGGGGAGCAAACGGG
rnacentral:rRNA from 1 species